CGCCCUCCACUACGGCUACGUUUAUAUUCCGCAGUGGAAGUUUGUGGACGAUAAAUGUAAUCAAGCAUCGUCUCACACAAAACACUCUUGUUUUCGCAGAAUGACAAAAUCGAAGUUCGAUCACCUGUUGAGCCUCGUGCACGAGAGAAUGCUUCAUGCACCUAACCACAGUAGACCGAUACGCCCUGCCGAAAGGCUGGCAAUGACGUUAAAGUUUCUGGCAACAGGUGCCUCAAUGCAAGACAUCGCAAUGAACUACUGCAUGCACGCAACAACAGCUGCUGGGAUUUUACAAGAAACGCUCCCGGCGAUAUGGGACUGUCUAUGACCGCUCGUCCUUUAGCCCCGAGCAGCUGCUGACUGGGAUGAAAUUCACAAAGGAUAUAGCUCAAUGUGGAAUUUUCCAGAUGUAGUCGGAAGCAUAGACGGCAAGCAUAUUGCGAUUCAGUGCCCACACAAGAGCGGCUCAGAUUAUUAUAACUAUGAAGGUUUCUAUUCCAUCGUUCUGCAUGCCGUGGCUGAUGCCGACUACCGGUUUACUCUUGUCGAGGUCGGCACCCAAGGAAGGAUUUCAGAUGGUGCUUUCUUUAUGGAAAGCUCCAUUAGAGAGGUUUUUGAGCGUGGAGGUAUGGAGCUGCCCACAACAGCAGUCAAUGGGUGGCCUGUUCUUGUGGUAGGCGACGUAGCAUUUCCAUUGCGCACAUAUUUAAUGCGUCCGUGCCAAGGAGGGCAGUUCGAGGAGAGGAAAAAAAUAUUUAAUUAUCGUCUAUAAAGGGCUAGAAAAUACGUGGAGAACGCAUUUGGAAUCCUCGUUUCGAGGUGGAGGGCUUUUCUAGGCACUGUCAGGGGACAGCCCGAGCUGCUCACUGACAGGCUGAACGUAAAAGUGUGCCUGCACAACUUCUUAAUUGUCGAUUCGGCGUACUGCCCUGCAGGCUAUGGUGACGCUGUGUGGUGGGGAAAUACAGGAUAGGUAUUUUUAGGCAUGCGAUAACACAGGUUGGAGCAAUUGCAGUGUCUAGCACUAAUCGAUCUGCUCCUGCAGCCAUGGCACUCAGAGACGAAAUUUCCAAAUACUUGUCUGCAGCAGGCUUCGUGCCAUGGCAUGUUAACGUAAUUAGGCGAAGCUGAGAAACCCCGCGAGCUUUCAAGAUUUUGUACAGCCCUUUUAUAAAGUGCAUCUUGCGAAUUUUAAUUUUCAUGAAAUUGAUUGCUGCACGUGCACUGAUUCUCUUGCCUCUUUUUGGUAUAAAUUUCGCACUAGGCUGUCAGCAGUUAGAAUAUUAGUAUGUGACAUUGUUAAUUUGUAUCUGUACUGUGUGAUAUUGUCAUUUUUCCUUCUUCUGUUUCAGCACUGCUUAAUCACUUAAUAAUUUGGCUGAUCUUGUGUUCCUUUGUUUUAGUACACACUGCUGCUGUGUAAACAUUUGUACGAUGUAAUUCUGCAUUCUUCUGUAACACCAGCUGCUUGGUUUUGUUCCGAAAAUACAUAAAGCAUCUUCACAAUAAAUAAGCUUUCAAGUCUGUAA